GAAACUUCAAAACUCCUCUUGUUGCAUUGAUUUAUUCUUGUCUUGACUAAUGCAACACAGAACUAAUCGGUCUCCCUCUCACUAAACUCUCCCCCCUUCAGUCUGUCCUAAAUGCUGCAGCCAGGCUCAUCUAUCCAUCCAACCGCUACACUGAUGCUACUAGUCUGUGCCAG